GACGAACGCUGGCGGCGUGCUUAACACAUGCAAGUCGAACGGAAAGGCCCCUUUGGGGGUACUCGAGUGGCGAACGGGUGAGUAACACGUGAGUAACCUGCCCUUGACUUCGGGAUAACUUCAGGAAACUGGGGCUAAUACCGGAUAGGAAUCCUUGCUGCAUGGUGGGGGUUGGAAAGCUUCGGCGGUUUUGGAUGGACUCGCGGCUAUCAGCUUGUUGGUGGGGUAGUGGCUUACCAAGGCUUUGACGGGUAGCCGGCCUGAGAGGGCGACCGGCCACAUUGGGACUGAGAUACGGCCCAGACUCCUACGGGAGGCAGCAGUGGGGAAUAUUGCACAAUGGGCGGAAGCCUGAUGCAGCAACGCCGCGUGCGGGAUGACGGCCUUCGGGUUGUAAACCGCUUUCAGCAGGGGCGAAGCUUGUGGUGACGGUACCUGCAGAAGAAGCACCGGCUAACUACGUG
rnacentral:rRNA from 1 species